CCUACGGGUGGCAGCAGUGAGGAAUAUUGGUCAAUGGGCUUACGCCUGAACCAGCCAAGUCGCGUGAGGGAAGACUGCCCUAUGGGUUGUAAACCUCUUUUGUCAGGGAGCAACGCCGGCUACGUGUAGCCGGACUGAGAGUACCUGAAGAAAAAGCAUCGGCUAACUCCGUGCCAGCAGCCUCGGUAAUCCGGAGGAUGCGAGCGUUAUCCGGAUUUAUUGGGUUUAAAGGGUGCGUAGGCGGAAUGCCAAGUCAGCGGUAAAAUCGCGGGGCUCAACCUCGCUCCGACGUUGAAACUGGCGGUCUUGAGUGGGCGAGAAGUAUGCGGAAUGCGUGGUGUAGCGGUGAAAUGCAUAGAUAUCACGCAGAACUCCGAGUGCGAAGGCAGCAUACCGGCGCCCAACUGACGCUGAAGCACGAAAGCGUGGGUAUCGAACAGGAUUAGAUACCCUGGUAGUC
rnacentral:rRNA from 1 species